rnacentral:rRNA from 1 species
AUUGAACGCUGGCGGCAGGCUUAACACAUGCAAGUCGAGCGAGCGGCGCACGGGUGUGUAAUGUCUGGGACACUGCCUGAUGGAGGGGGAUAACUACUGGAAACGGUAGCUAAUACCGCAUACCAUCAGAUGUGCCCAGAUGGGAUUAGCUAGUAGGUGGGGUAAAGGCGCACCUAGGCGACGAUCCCUAGCUGGUCUGAGAGGAGGACCAGCCACACUGGGACUGAGACACGGUCCAGACUCCUACGGGAGGCAGCAGUGGGGAAUAUUGCACAAUGGGCGCAAGCCUGAUGCAGCCAUGCCGCGUGUAUGAAGAAGGCCUUCGGGUUGUAAAGUACUUUCAGCGGGGAGGCGUUACCCGCAGAAGAAGCACCGGCUAACUCCGUGCCAGCAGCCGCGGUAAUAC